CCUACGGGGGGCAGCAGUGGGGGAUAUUGCACAAUGGGGGGAACCCUGAUGCAGCGACGCCGCGUGGGUGAAGACGCGCCUCGGCGCGUAAAGCCCUGUCAGCAGGGAAGAAAAUGACGGUACCUGAAGAAGAAGCCCCUGCUAACUACGUGCCAGCAGCCGCGGGAAUACGGAGGGGGCAAGCGUUUUCCGGUUUUACUGGGGGUAAAGGGGGCGCAGACGGGGAUGCAAGCCAGGAGUGAAAGCCCGGGGCCCAACCCCGGGACUGCUCUUGGAACUGCGUGGCUGGAGUGCAGGAGGGGCAGGCGGAAUGCCUGGUGUAGCGGUGAAAUGCGUAGAUAUCAGGCGGAACAGCGGUGGCGAAGGCGGCCUGCUGGACUGCAACUGACGUUGAGGCCCGAAAGCGUGGGGAGCAAACAGGAUUAGAUACCCGGGUAGUC
rnacentral:rRNA from 1 species